UACAGAGACCUCAAGCGUUAUCCGGAAUCAUUGGGCGUAAAGCGUGCCGAUAGGUGGUUUUGAUAGUUUUGGGUAAAAGCCAGAAGCUCAACUUCUGCGUUUGCUCAAAAUACUUCAAGACUAGAGGGGCAAAGAGGUGCUUGGAACGAAUGGUGUAGUAGUGAAAUGCGUUGAUAUCAUUCGGAACACCGAAAGCGAAGGCAGAGCACUGGGUGCCACCUGACACUGCUAGGACGAGGGCGUGGGUAGCGAAUGGG
rnacentral:rRNA from 1 species